rnacentral:rRNA from 1 species
UACAGAGGAGCCAAGCGUUGUCCGGAAUCACUGGGCGUAAAGGGCGCGUAGGCGGCUUGAUAAGCGUGCGGUGAAAGCCCGGGGCUCAACCCCGGGUCGGCCGUGCGAACUGUCGAGCUGGAGCACUGUAGAGGCAGGUGGAAUUCCGGGUGUAGCGGUGGAAUGCGUAGAGAUCCGGAAGAACACCGGUGGCGAAGGCGGCCUGCUGGGCAGUGGCUGACGCUGAGGCGCGACAGCGUGGGGAGCAAACAGG